rnacentral:rRNA from 1 species
GGCGAACGGGUGAGUAACAGCGUUGGUGACCUGCCCCAAAGUGAGGGAUACCAGUUCGAAAGGACUGCUAAUACCCCAUGUGGUCGUAGAGAUUAGUAGCUUUACGUCUAAAGGAGUAAUCCGCUUUGGGAGGGGCCUGCGUCCCAUCAGCUUGUUGGUAGGGUAACGGCUUACCAAGGCGACGACGGGUAGGGGACCUGAGAGGGUGACCCCCCACACUGGCACUGAAACACGGGCCAGACACCUACGGGUGGCAGCAGUAGGGAAUAUUGCACAAUGGGCGAAAGCCUGAUGCAGCAACGCCGCGUGCGCGAUGAAGGCCUUCGGGUCGUAAAGCGCUUUUAGGAGAGAUGAGGAAGGACAGUAUCUCCAGAAUAAGUCUCGGCUAACUACGUGCCAGCAGCCGCGGUAAAACGUAGGAGGCAAGCGUUAUCCGAAUUUACUGGGCGUAAAGCGCGUGCAGGCGGUUUGGUAAGUUGGAUGUGAAAUCUCCUGGCUCAACUGGGAGAGGUCGUUCAAUACUGCCAGACUAGAGGAUGGUAGAGGGAGGUGGAGUUCCCGGUGUAGUGGUGAAAUGCGUAGAUAUCGGGAGGAACACCAGUGGCGAAAGCGGCCUCCUGGACCAUUCCUGACGCUCAGACGCGAAAGCUAGGGGAGCAAACGGGAUUAGACACCCCGGUAGUCCUAGCUGUAAACGAUGUGGACUUGACGUCGGUGGGGUAAAAUCCAUCGGUGCUGGAGCUAACGCGUUAAGUCCACCGCCUGGGGACUACGGCCCGCAAGG